AAUGAGGAGAUUGUGGUGGGGCUAAGAAGACCGAUUCACCUUAAUAAAUGCAAAACAAGAAAAGAUAAGAUGGCUAGAAGAAGGUUAAGGCAACAACGUUGCAAAGGGUAAGCGCUUAAGGAUUGCUUGAGGAGCUAAAAGAUUCUUUUCUCAUGAUUUGAGAGGGUAUUUACAGGAAAUGUCAUUUUGUUUACUAGUGUAACGUGGCAAGUUGUUAUAGAGGAAGUUGUCACCAUGGAGUAUGUGAAAGGCAUGUACAGUGGGCCCAUUCUAUUAUUCAUUUAGGCAGUACGAGGUUAUUAUGCACGAGUGGUUCUCAUUGGUUGUUGAAGAACGUGUUGCUUGGGGAGUGUUCACAUUAAAAAACGAGUUGCUAAGCCAUGGUGAACAAGUAUCUGAAAAAAAGGAGGGAAGCGCAUCGCAUAUUAGUAGAUGGUUUGUAGUAGACUAGAAGGUGGAUCGGUUGAAGUCAAUACAAACAAACGCUGGGAAGGAGUCACUUUAUGUUAUCCAUGUGAAGUCUUCCAGAUACACCACAUAUCUAGCCCAAGUGGUAGGUAUAAUGAUUGACCCUCAUUUAGUCGAAAGGUAGAUUACAAAGUGGUCUGUCUUGAGACACUUUUACUAGGAAGUUAUAUAAAAGGUGGGAUAACUGAUAGGUGCAUCAUCAGAUAAUGCAACAAACAUAGAUAGCAUAUUGUUUAAAGCUGAAGGGUCAUCAUAAAACUUCUUGAAUACGACUACGCCUAGGGAGCUAUAACAAUGAUGAUGUAACACCCUAUAUCCGACUCGAUCUAAUUAUAACAUGCAUAUAGGAAUUAUUCCUUAACUUUCUAUGUCUAGAGGAUCGGCAAAAUCGAGGCUCUAAUACCACUAAAUUGUAACAUCAUAUACUUGACCCGAUAUUCAGGUCCAAGUACCGAAUGUCACAAUCAACCUGAACAACUUAACAAAAUUUUUAAGCUGAUUUAUUACAUACUUAGAC
rnacentral:lncRNA from 1 species